rnacentral:rRNA from 1 species
GAUGAACGCUGGCGGCGUGCCUAAUACAUGCAAGUCGAGCGAACAGACGAGGAGCUUGCUCCUCUGACGUUAGCGGCGGACGGGUGAGUAACACGUGGAUAACCUACCUAUAAGACUGGGAUAACUUCGGGAAACCGGAGCUAAUACCGGAUAAUAUAUUGAACCGCAUGGUUCAAUAGUGAAAGACGGUUUUGCUGUCACUUAUAGAUGGAUCCGCGCCGCAUUAGCUAGUUGGUAAGGUAACGGCUUACCAAGGCAACGAUGCGUAGCCGACCUGAGAGGGUGAUCGGCCACACUGGAACUGAGACACGGUCCAGACUCCUACGGGAGGCAGCAGUAGGGAAUCUUCCGCAAAGGGCGAAAGCUUGACGGAGCAACGCCGCGUGAGUGAUGAAGGUCUUCGGAUCGUAAAACUCUGUUAUUAGGGAAGAACAAGUGUGUAAGUAACUAUGCACGUCUUGACGGUACCUAAUCAGAAAGCCACGGCUAACUACGUG